rnacentral:rRNA from 1 species
UAGCUAGUUGGUGAGGUAACGGCUUACCAAGGCGACGAUCUGUAGCGGGUCUGAGAGGAUGAUCCGCCACACUGGACUGAGACACGGUCCAGACUCCUACGGGAGGCAGCAGUGGGGAAUUUUGGACAAUGGGGGCAACCCUGAUCCAGCCAUGCCGCGUGAGUGAAGAAGGCCUUCGGGUUGUAAAGCUCUUUCGGCCGGGAAGAAAUCGCAUGGGCCAAUACCCUGUGUGGAUGACGGUACCGGAAUAAGAAGCACCGGCUAACUACGUGCCAGCAGCCGCGGUAAUACGUAGGGUGCGAGCGUUAAUCGGAAUUACUGGGCGUAAAGCGUGCGCAGGCGGUUUUGUAAGACAGGCGUGAAAUCCCCGGGCUCAACCUGGGAACUGCGUUUGUGACUGCAAGGCUAGAGUACGGCAGAGGGGGGUGGAAUUCCACGUGUAGCAGUGAAAUGCGUAGAGAUGUGGAGGAACACCAAUGGCGAAGGCAGCCCCCUGGGUCGAUACUGACGCUCAUGCACGAAAGCGUGGGUAGCAAACAGGAUUAGAUACCCUGGUAGUCCACGCCCUAAACUAUGUCAACUAGGUGUUGGGUGGGUAAAACCAUUUAGUACCGUAGCUAACGCGUGAAGUUGACCGCCUGGGGAGUACGGCCGCAAGGUUAAAACUCAAAGGAAUUGACGGGGACCCGCACAAGCGGUGGAUGAUGUGGAUUAAUUCGAUGCAACGCGAAAAACCUUACCUACCCUUGACAUGCCAGGAACUUGCCAGAGAUGGCUUGGUGCCCGAAAGGGAGCCUGGACACAGGUGCUGCAUGGCUGUCGUCAGCUCGUGUCGUGAGAUGUUGGGUUAAGUCCCGCAACGAGCGCAACCCUUGUCGUUAAUUGCCAUCAUUUAGUUGGGCACUUUAGCGAGACUGCCGGUGACAAACCGGAGGAAGGUGGGGAUGACGUCAAGUCCUCAUGGCCCUUAUGGGUAGGGCUUCACACGUCAUACAAUGGUCGGUACAGAGGGUCGCCAAGCCGCGAGGUGGAGCCAAUCCCAGAAAGCCGAUCGUAGUCCGGAUUGCAGGCUGCAACUCGCCUGCAUGAAGUCGGAAUCGCUAGUAAUCGUGGAUCAGCAUGUCACGGUGAAUACGUUCCCGGGUCUUGUACACACCGCCCGUCACACCAUGGGAGCGGGUUCCGCCAGAAGUAGGUAGCCUAACCGCAAGGAGGGCGCUUACCACGGCGGGGUUCGUGACUGGGGUGAAGUCGGAACAAGGUAGCCGUAGGGGAACCUGCGGCUG